AUGUCAUUUAGACUACUUGUGUGCAAUGUUAGGGGGCUGAAUAACCCGGCCAGGCGCAAUUCUAUCUGUUUAUUUAUGCAGUCUUGUGAUGCGUCCUUGGUUUGCUUCCAAGAAUCUAAGCUGAAUGUACUUGAUCCUUUGGUGGUUAAUCAGACACUUGGCCCAGAGUUUGAUGGGUUUGAGGCUUUGCCAGCGGAAGGCACCAGAGGAGUAAUUCUGUUAGCCUGGAGA
rnacentral:rRNA from 1 species